UACGGAGGGGCUAGCGUUGUUCGGAAUUACUGGGCGUAAAGCGCGCGUAGGCGGACCUGCAAGUCGGGGGUGAAAGCCCGAGGCUCAACCUCGGAACUGCCUUCGAUACUGCGGGUCUCGAGUCCGGAAGAGGCGAGUGGAAUUCCUGGUGUAGCGGUGAAAUGCGCAGAUAUCAGGAGGAACACCAAUGGCGAAGGCAGCUCGCUGGGACGGUACUGACGCUGAGACGCGAAGCGUGGGGAGCAAACAGG
rnacentral:rRNA from 1 species